UACGAAGGGGGCGAGCGUUGUCCGGAAUCACUGGGCGUAAAGGGCGCGUAGGCGGCUCAUGAAGGCUGUGGUGAAAGUCCGGGGCUCAACCUCGGAUCGGCCGUGGCGACUCGUGGGCUGGAGCACUGUAGGGGCGGGUGGAAUUCCGGGUGUAGCGGUGGAAUGCGUAGAGAUCCGGAAGAACACCAGUGGCGAAGGCGGCCCGCUGGGCAGUGGCUGACGCUGAAGCGCGACAGCGUGGGGAGCAAACAGG
rnacentral:rRNA from 1 species